CUAUACAUGCAGUCGUACGGCAACACAGUUGCGAGCUAUCUCAACCGGUGGCGAGUGGCGCACGGGUGAGUAACGCGUAUGUAACCUACCCUUCUCCGGGACAUAACUCCGCGAAAGCGGUGCUAAUAUCCCAUACCAACUCAUCAUAACAUCUUCUUGAGUUGAAAGCAUCAAUGCGGUGAAGGAUGGGCAUGCGUCCCAUUAUCUGGUUGGUGAGGUAAUGGCCCACCAAGGCUACGAUGGGUAGGGGUUCUGAGAGGAAAGCCCCCCACACUGGUACUGAGACACGGACCAAACUCCUACGGGAGGCAGCAGUAAGGAAUAUUGGGCAAUGGUCGAAAGACUGACCCAGCCAUGCCGCGUGCAGGAUGAAGGCCCUAUGGGUUGUAAACUGCUUUUACCGGGAAUAAACACCCGUUUUAUAACGGGCCCGAAGGUACCGGCUGAAUAACCAUCGGCUAACUCCGUGCCAGCAGCCGCGGGUAAUACA
rnacentral:rRNA from 1 species